CAGGUACUGCCGACUCGUUCAGACCGCUGAGACUAGUCUUGUGGGAGAGGUAUUUUGUUGUGCACUCUCGUUCGGAAAAAUUCCAAAACAUGUUCUUUGUUCUCAAAAUACUACAUCCACGUUCAACGACCAACGAUGAGUAGAGUGCUGGACUCUGCCGCCGACCACAGAUGUUAUGGUUCCAAAAGCAAUGUACGAUGACUCGUUUGAAAGAUGCCUCUGGACCUUCAUGGUGUACUUUGUGUUCAUGAUCGUUAGUCCUAUUAUCGUAUUCGUAGCGAUUUUCGUCCCAACUAUACCCUUAUCAAUAGUCAGAAGAAUAUGCCACAUCGAGUUUGAGUCUGUUUAAGUGUAAUUUUUGUAUAUAGAGUAUUAAUUAAUAAAUGUGAUACUACUUUUAAA